UAUUAGUUGCCCCAGGGCACCAGGCAGGAUUGUAAAAGUCCUGAAGACUUUGGCCCAUUUUAAAAACAAGCGUGUGGUGUGGUCAAAAGGCAAAAAAAGCUAAGUGUGACAACUGUCAAGACAGCCUGUUAGUAUGCAGUUUGCUGAGGCUUUUGAUAGAGAUCUUGAUUGUAUUAAGGCUCAGUUUCACCGAAUGCUUCUUCUGUGUCUGAGAUGGUACUAUUGUGUUUCUUCUUUCUUCUUAAUUACAUCAGUCUUUUUCCUAAUCUACUGAGUUAUUUUUGACCUAAAGGGGUGGCAGAGUGAGGUCACUAAGGGAACAGUUGGAUCUUGGGUUCUGUCACCUACCAGCUGCCUGGCAUCCGACAAGUUUCUUGACCUCUCUGUGCUUCAUGACUAGUUUCAGUGGUGACCUGCUUUAAUCUCCGUGAGGUCCUUACAACGGGGCCCUGAACGUUCUGCGGCGUGCCCCUUUCCCCCUUUUCCCAUUUGCACGAGUUUUCUGAGGGUAAAAGUCAUCGUAUCCUGAAGCAUCACUAGGACUUACCGUAAGGCCAUCUGGAGCUGGGGCCUCUGCUAAUGGACAAUUUCCUCGCAGUAUACAGAACUCAGAGCCAUGAAGGACACAUGGUCGGGGGCGCCGCUGUUGCAACGGUCAUGACGCCAUAGCCAGUAUUUAUGGCUUCCUUCCUCCUUCCUGAAUCCCACGUUCCCUCUGCCUCCAGCCAGUACUGCAGCUGCUCAGGAGACUUUACCAGCCUCAGUUUAUCUUCCGGGUCCCUUGGACUGCAAGGAGAUAAAACCAGUCAAUCCUAAAGGAAACCAACCCUGAAUAUUCAUGAGAAGGACUGAUGCGGAAGCUGAAACUCCAACACUUUGGCCACUUGAUGUGACGAGCUGACUCACUGGAAGAGACCCUGAUGCUGGGAAAGAUUGAAGGCAGGAAGAGAAAAAGUGACAGAUGACAAGGUGGUUGGAUGGCAUCAUGGACUCAAUGGAUAUGAGCUUGAGCAAACUGGGAGACAGUGAAGAACAGGGAAGCCUGGAGUGCUGCAGUUCACGGGGUCAGAAAGAGGCAUACAAGACUGAGCAACUGAACACCACCACCAUCAUCAAUCUUCUGAGUUAAUAACUUUUCUUAUCUCCCUGAAGAUAAUCAUUAAAGUUUAUUUUUAACUCAAGUUUUCUCAUGCACAGUCUCU
ensembl:lncRNA